ensembl:miRNA Gm22015 predicted gene, 22015
AUGCAUGUAUGUAUGUAUGUAUGCAUGCAUGCAUGUAUGUAUGUAUGUAUGUGUAUGUAUGUCUG